rnacentral:rRNA from 1 species
GACGGGGACCCGCACAAGCGGUGGAGCAUGUGGUUUAAUUCGAAGCAACGCGAAGAACCUUACCAAGUCUUGACAUCCCACUGAAGUAUUGGGUAAUGCCGAUACGCUCUUCGGAGCAGUGGAGACAGGUGGUGCAUGGUUGUCGUCAGCUCGUGUCGUGAGAUGUUGGGUUAAGUCCCGCAACGAGCGCAACCCUUAUCUUUAGUAGCCAGCAUUUCGGAUGGGCACUCUAGAGAGACUGCCAGGGUUAACCUGGAGGAAGGUGGGGAUGACGUCAAAUCAUCAUGCCCCUUAUGACUUGGGCUACACACGUGCUACAAUGGCGUAAACAAAGGGAAGCAAGGCAGUGAUGUCAAGCAAAUCCCGAAAAUAACGUCUCAGUUCGGAUUGUAGUCUGCAACUCGACUACAUGAAGCUGGAAUCGCUAGUAAUCGCAGAUCAGAAUGCUGCGGUGAAUACGUUCCCGGGUCUUGUACACACCGCCCGUCACACCAUGGGAGUCGAUAAUGCCCGAAGCCGGUGACCUAACAGCAAUGAAGGAGCCGUCGAAGGCAGGAUUGAUGACUGGGGUGAAAAAGUACCAAGGUG